rnacentral:rRNA from 1 species
GACGAACGCUGGCGGCGUGCUUAACACAUGCAAGUCGAGCGGUAAGGCCCUUUCGGGGGUACACGAGCGGCGAACGGGUGAGUAACACGUGGGUGACCUGCCCUUAGCUCUGGGAUAAGCCUGGGAAACUGGGUCUAAUACCGGAUAUGACUCCAUGACGCAUGUUGUGGGGUGAAAGCCUUGUGCGGCUAGGGAUGGGCCCGCGGCCUAUCAGCUUGUUGGUGGGGUGAUGGCCACCAAGGCGACGACGGGUAGCCGGCCUGAGAGGGCGACCGGCCACACUGGGACUGAGACACGGCCCAGACUCCUACGGGAGGGCAGCAGUGGGGAAUCUUGCGCAAUGGGCGAAAGCCUGACGCAGCGACGCCGCGUGGGGAUGACGGCC